UUGAGCUUGGAUCCUGGCUCAGAUUGAACGCUGGCGGCAGGCCUAACACAUGCAAGUCGAGCGGAAACGAUGGAAGCUUGCUUCCAGGCGUCGAGCGGCGGACGGGUGAGUAAUGCAUGGGAAUCUGCCCGAUAGUGGGGGAUAACCUGGGGAAACCCAGGCUAAUACCGCAUACGUCCUACGGGAGAAAGCAGGGGAUCUUCGGACCUUGCGCUAUCGGAUGAGCCCAUGUCGGAUUAGCUUGUUGGUGAGGUAAUGGCUCACCAAGGCGACGAUCCGUAGCUGGUCUGAGAGGAUGAUCAGCCACAUCGGGACUGAGACACGGCCCGAACUCCUACGGGAGGCAGCAGUGGGGAAUAUUGGACAAUGGGCGAAAGCCUGAUCCAGCCAUGCCGCGUGUGUGAAGAAGGCCCUCGGGUUGUAAAGCACUUUCAGUGGGGAAGAAAGCCUUGGGAUUAAUACUCCCGAGGAAGGACAUCACCCACCAGAGAGACC
rnacentral:rRNA from 1 species